rnacentral:rRNA from 1 species
GCGAAAUUCACUAGUGAUGGGACNCAGGCCUAACACAUGCAAGUCGAGCGCCGUAGCAAUACGGAGCGGCAGACGGGAGAGUAACACGUGGNAACGUGCCCUUCAGUUCGGAACAACCNCAGGGAAACUUGGGCUAAUACCGGAUACGUCCGUAAGGAGAAAGAUUUAUCGCUGAAGGAUCGGCCCGCGUCUGAUUAGCUUGUUGGUGAGGUAAAGGCUCACCAAGGCGACGAUCAGUAGCUGGUCUGAGAGGAUGAUCAGCCACAUUGGGACUGAGACACGGCCCAAACUCCUACGGGAGGCAGCAGUGGGGAAUAUUGGACAAUGGGCGAAAGCCUGAUCCAGCAAUGCCGCGUGUGUGAAGAAGGUCUUCGGAUUGUAAAGCACUUUUGGCAGGGACGAUGAUGACGGUACCUGCAGAAUAAGCCCCGGCUAACUUCGUG